rnacentral:piRNA from 1 species
AUUGGAUAUAGUACUACCGGAGGAUCU